ACGGAAUUGGAAAUUUUAAUGAGCGCGUAUGCCGAGCAGUUACCAAGAGAGAGCUUGGCCUGAAAUAGCUGAACAAGUCAAUGCAAUUGCCCCAAGAGGACUUGGCGGCAAAUGAAGAUGAAGUACAAAAAUAUAGUUCAAACAGCAAAUCGAAAAAAAGAAGAGGCCCGGAAGACUGGAGGGGGUCCACCUCUGCAGCCCUCACAGAGGCUGAGGAGAUGGCCCUCAGACAACAGAGUAUGCGUCAUGUGGCUGAGGGCAUCCCUGGGGGGAGCUCCUCUGAUCCCCCCCCACCCCCCAGGAUAGAAGUGCCUUUAUAAGAGUUACUGAUGGCGUCAUCGCCCUACUUGAACCAGAUGCCCUCACCAACCUCCAUGCAAUUGUAACAAUUCAAAAGAUGCAAAAGGAUGCUUUGGAGAUCCACAUUUUGGAACAUAAGUUAAAGAUAUCUGGCACCUAUACAAAAAACUGUGCUGGACCAUUUUGAAACCACAGUUGUAAUUGGGGCUGACACAAAGGCUGUGCGAGGAUUGUGGUUGAAGACCAGCCGACCCGAAGACCCGUAGGUGUAAGGGGUCGGGAGAGGACCCAAAUGCAGCACACGUAGGCAGGCAGACAGUCGGU
ensembl:lncRNA